CUGAAAAUGGUCCAUAUAAUGGUCUGCCAUAGGAUAAAGGUAGCAUGGGCACUGCAGUUGGCACAGGGUGGAUUUCAACUCGUUAUGGCCAAAUCUGGUCAAAAACAGAAGUUAGGAAAAACCCAAUAGUGGAGGAGUUUCAACAUCUGGCCCUUGGACUAUGACUCACCCAGAAAGAAUUUAAUUAAAGUUGUCUGUGCAUGAAUAUGUGGUGGACACGCCUUGUGAUGCCUUCACUGGUGCAUACUUUCAGAGAUCAACAAAUAGCAACACAGCACGUCAGAGAAUGUGGGGAGUCUGUAAAAUAAAAAAUAAAAAACCCUUGUUUUUGUGUAACUUGUUCCUCUCCGAACUUAAAAAAUGACUGACUUAACGGACAUCAAUGAGAAUGUGGUUAGGGAUAUGUAUAACCCUGACGAAAAAAGAAGCAAAGCAACAAGAGAAAGGAAACUACGCAAUAACCCAAACAUUCUCUUCAAAAUAAUGAGAGUGACGAAGCUUCAUUUGUUGCUAUUUGAUCCGUCUGAUGCCGUGGAUGAAUGGGUAAAAGUCCUUACAGCAGGGAGUCCAACGCAUAACCUGUCUGUGCAGGUGACCACCAGAUACAAAGGAUCUACCCCAAGUGUCACAACUAUUUGUUUGUCAGGGCAAGCUAACAACCUGGAAACAUUCUGCCAGGAUUUUGCAAAUCUACGGAUGGAUGUGCUUGAAAGAACUCAGCACAAGAAGAAGAAGAAAGAACUGAAGAAUGAAGAAUGAAUUUAGUGUCACAAUACGGACCCCAGAGCGAGCUAGAGAUGCUGAAUGUUCCCACCAGCUGACUGCUGAAAAAGCUUUCCCCAUCAAGCCAAGCUCUACUGUGGAACGCAUUCAUUGAUGUCAACUUACUAUGCACAUCCUGCAAAUGUAUUCAGGUUAUUACUACUACCAGCAUAUUUAUACACAACUUAUCUAGCAUGUUGGUAUAUUUAGGGGUCCACACAAAUAAGCCGAUCCUUCAUCCAAACUGCUUGGACCCCUUUAGUUAAUCUUUCCUUUAAUCUAAUAUAAUCUAUCUUUCUUUUUUUUUUUUAACUGUGAGGCCCUUACACACAUAAUCUUUGUAUUUCAACAUCAACAAAAUAAAGUUAAAUCAUGA